CUGAGGGAAAAGGAGAGUGGGCCCGCGGGAGGGGCAUCGUGGGGUCUCCCGUGGAUUUCCCAGAUAACUGUGGAUGACCACCCCCAAGAGGGCAGGGCUGCACCCUCCAUGGCCCAGACACAGGAGAGCCCAGCACCACCUGACGCAGCGUGUCCUAGGACCCCGACACCAGAGACGGCCGUGUACGGGGAGCACCUGGGUCCAGACGCCCGGGCCCACAGUCAGGGGACUUGGUAAGGCGUAAAUCAUGCAUAGGGCAGGUGACCCUGUUCCUGGUUGGUCUUCCCUGGUGGCACUGGUCACUCCAAAUUCCCACCACUCCCCUCAGUGGUCCCACAUCCACGCGCUUGUGUGCACGUGGCCGCCACACACCUGCUUCUCCUCCACAAGGCAGCCCAGCCCUGGACCUGGCCUGCCUGGCUCUACACCGGGACCCUGCCCCAUGUCACCCAGGACAGACAGACGGUGCUGCAUUCACGGCCACCCAGACCCUGCUGGCAGAGGUCUGUCCCGAUUGUGGGUGUCUUGCCCCUGGUGCAUGUCCCUCGUGGGACCUGAGCCAGUGGGACAGCCAGGGGGACAGCUGCCGUGGGCUCUGGCAGAGGGAAGGGGGUACUCUGGGAAUCCUCACGCCGGCUGUGGAACAUUCUAGCCAGAAGUGAACCCAUUGCCUCUGGUCACGGCGCACUGGCCGGGACAAGUCACCUGGCCCUGCUCCACCAUGACGGGCUGGGAAGUACCCAGAAGGUAGACAGCCCAAGCCCCAGCCACUGCCCAGCCAUGUGACUCCUGGCCAGGUGCGACUGCUGCAAAUGUACCCGUGAGGAACAGGUGACAAAGCUCAUUGCACUGCCUGGUUCUGACCCAAGACUGACCGCGUCAGGCCAGAUGGUCUCCAGGUCCAGAGUUCAGGGAUUUUGUCACACGCUCUUGGCCCAAAUGCAAGAGAGCAAACCUGUGAGACCGGGAGAGUGAGCCGGGCCAGAGAGGAAGCCCUCCUAGACCCUUGGAAGCCCUCUUGGACCCUAAUCCCCACUGACCUCAGGGGGUGGCCAACCCAGCAGAUGGAGUUUCUGACGUCCUCCCAACUACACGCCAAUGACAAAAAGCCUUUACUCCUCGGCGUCCCAGGCCCACCCUGCAGGGCUGCAGGUGCACAGGGGGCCUGGCUUUCACCCCUGGGUCCAAGAACACGGCACCCAUCUCUCAGGGCCAGACCCCAGCGGCAGCUGGGCCAGCCCUGGUUCUUCCUGAGGACAAGCUAAAGCAUCCCUGUCACCUCCCGGAGCCUCAAGGAAAUGGCUGGCUUCCGGAACCUUCUAGGGCCAGCCUCUGCCCGUCACUGAGACCUGUCUUCGGAGCAGCUGGGCGCAGAAAUUAUAGCUUCCUGGUGUCGACGGCCCCAUUCUGCACGGCAACACAACGUGUUCCUAAUGACUGAAUUGUUUAUUUAAUAAAGAAAGCACAACCA